CGCAAACCGACACAGGUAGGUGAGGAGAGAAUCCUAAGGCCGGCGGAAGAAUUACAGUUAAGGAACUCGGCAAAUUGACCCCGUAAGUUCGCGAGAAGGGGUGCCUACGAGAGUAGGCCGCAGAGAAUAGGCCCAAGCAACUGUUUAGCAAAAACACAGGUCUCUGCUAAAGCGUAAGCUGAUGUAUAGGGGCUGACGCCUGCCCGGUGCUGGAAGGUUAAGGGGAACACUUAGCGCAAGCGAAGGUGUGAACUUAAGCCCCAGUAAACGGCGGCCGUAACUAUAACGGUCCUAAGGUAGCGAAAUUCCUUGUCAGGUAAGUUCUGACCCGCACGAAUGGCGUAAUGACUUGGGCACUGUCUCAACUGUAAAUCCGGCGAAGUUGUAGUGCGAGUGAAGAUGCUCGCUACCCGCGAUUGGACGGAAAGACCCCGUAGAGCUUUACUGUAGCUUAGCAUUGAGUUUUGGUAUUGUCUGUACAGGAUAGGUGGGAGACUAGGAAACCAG
rnacentral:rRNA from 1 species